GGAUGGUUGGCCUCUUGGUUACAAGCAUGUACAUUAUGGCUCUCUCCUUGCCUGGAACUGGAUAUGAGAAAUGCUUGAAUUAAGAUCUGUGAAUUAUCUUAUUUUCUUGUCAGAAGGAUGCAGAUUGCCCAUACUUCAUAGCAGAGCAACAGGAGGGACUUAGGGACAAAAAGAGGAAAACGAAGGCAUUACAAAACAAGCAUAUUAAGUAUACGAUUCACAUCCCAACAGCUCAAAGGCAAGGAAGACUGAGGAAGCUAAGUUACUGGCCAUAUGUUUAAUAAAUAUAAGCUUAAUGGCAGUGAAUGUAUUAAUGUCAGCGAAGACAAGUCUAUGAAGGACUGUCUGUGGAUCCAGGGAGGAAUUUCAGAAGAGCCAGGAUUAGUCAAUCAAAUUAAACUCAAUAUCACCCAAAUAAAGUUGGUCAGAUCAAACUACGUUUAAAUAAGAAUUAAAAUGCCAUUUGUCCAUCACCUAAUGGCUCAAUUUGCUCCUGCCUUGGGUGUGCACACCCUGCUCUGGAACAGACCAGAGCUCUAAAGAAGUGACUGGAAGUUGUGAAUGUCAUUGUUAUGAAGCUUCAAAUUUGCUCUCCUCUUUAGGACACAGACAUGGCAUUAGAGAAGGGCAGAAAACUGCACUUGGCUGUGCAUAGAGAACACUAGAGACCUCUUGUGCAAGAGAGGGGACUAGGUUGCGUAGUGUAAUGAGAGAAGCAUGGGUUUUGAGACCGCUACAAUGUCUGUGUCUUCUUGGCCAACAUUUCAGUAAGAGUAGUAAGCAUAUCUCCACAAUAGGGUUAAGAGAACCAGUGUCUUCUGAAAAACACAUGAAAUCAUCGUAACCCUGCUAAGUCUGUGCUUUGCAAAAAUUAAAACUAAAACUAAUUUUCA
rnacentral:lncRNA from 1 species